rnacentral:rRNA from 1 species
UGGGGAAUCUUGGACAAUGGGCGCAAGCCUGAUCCAGCCAUGCCGCGUGAGCGAUGAAGGCCUUAGGGUUGUAAAGCUCUUUCACCGGUGAAGAUAAUGACGGUAGCCGGAGAAGAAGCCCCGGCUAACUCCGUGCCAGCAGCCGCGGUAAUACGGAGGGGGUUAGCGUUGUUCGGAAUUACUGGGCGUAAAGCGCACGUAGGCGGACCAGAAAGUUGGGGGUGAAAUCCCGGGGGCUCAACCCCGGAACUGCCUCCAAAACUAUUGGUCUAGAGUUCGAGAGAGGUGAGUGGAAUUCCAAGUGUAGAGGUGAAAUUCGUAGAUAUUUGGAGGAACACCAGUGGCGAAGGCGGCUCACUGGCUCGAUACUGACGCUGAGGUGCGAAAGUGUGGGGAGCAAAACAGGAUUAGAUACCCUGGUAGUCCACACCGUAAAACGAUGAAUGCCAGUCGUCGGGUAGCAUGCUAUUCGGUGACACACCUAACGGAUUAAGCA